GUGCAAAAUGAUGUCAAGCAAGAUUUCUCUUGCUUUCUUUACUCUUAUAACCUUAUCCCUAAUCCUUCCCUCUCGUGCCCAAGACAACCCACAAGAUUACCUCGAUGCUCAUAAUGCAGCUCGUGCAGCUGUAGGUGUUGGUCCACUAACCUGGGACAACACGGUGCAAGCCUAUGCACAAGCUUAUGCUAGCCAACGUGCCGGCGAUUGCAACCUUGUUCUUUCAGGUGGACCUUAUGGGGAGAUCCUUCAAUGGAGCAGCGCGGACCUUUCAGGUACAGAUGCUGUAAAAUUGUGGGUUGAUGAGAAGGCUUUCUACGACUACAACUCCAACUCAUGUGCCUCUGGCCAGCAGUGUGUGUCCUAUACUCAAGUGGUUUGGGGUAACUCUGUUAGCCUAGGAUGUGCGAAAGUGACUUGUAGCGCUGGAGGAACCUUCAUUGUGUGCAACUAUGAUCCACCCGGCAACGUUGUUGGGCAAAAACCUUACUAAACCUUUCUGAUUAUGAAAUCAGUGCUUCUAUUACCUGGAAUAAUAAUGAUAAAUAAGCUGAUUUAUAUUGGCAUUAAUUAAUAAAUGAUAGAAAAAUAUUUGCUACAUCUUGAUGAUAUGCUGGCAUACAGGAAGUUCACGUGGUAUACGUUUGGAUGGUUUUUUUUUUUAUAAUUAUGUUCAUAUAAUUUUAAUUACAGUCAGAAUGAUCACAACUUAUGUACUGUUAUAGCAUCCACUUUCAAUUCAAAUUAUUAUUAAGUUGAACUAAAAUUGGAUGUUUUAGAAAGUGAAAAUUAAUCAUGCAUAACGCUCAUAUGCAUACUAGCAGAUUACCCUCCGUUUUGUUGCUUUUAUAUAUAUAUAUAUAUAUAUAUAUAAUAAGAUGAAUAAAAUCAGAUAUGCAUACAAAAAUGAUUGAGAAUUUGAUAACUUUACUAUUAUAUGUGAAUUCACAGUUUGCUUUGUGCCCAUGAUUAAGAAGAACAAAGAAAAAAAAACGAAGGAAAGAAGUACCUCUGUGCCUGGAAUGGAGACGGCUAUAUAGGUUACAAUUAGUCAUUUGCGUUCAUGUCUCCCUGGCCCAGAUUUCUGCCGAUGAUUUUGUUAAAGCCCUUAACGAGAUUCGUGUACAGGUUGAGGAUGUCCCGAUUUCUUGGAACGAAACAUUGGCAGCCGAAGCAAGGAAACUUGCUAUACCAAGGAUCUCCUGCUGCAAUUUAAUCGAAGACAUGUUCACUGAAGGCCUCUUAUCCUUUGACUGCGUCUGAAGCUGUUGGGUUGUGGUGCCAGCGAGAAACCUUCCUAAAAUUAUUUUGCCUAGUGAAAAAUUUUACAUGAAUAUUUUGUUUUUGAAAUUGGAUGUCAAAUAUUCAAAGCAAGCUAUCUAAUGCAUAAAUUUGUGAGAGAUUUUCACUGUAUAUUUUUUAUUGCACAGUUGUUUUUUAGUUUAGUCCUCAAACUUUGUUUUUCUCAAUCAUGUUUUAUUUAAGGAGCAAUUAAUUUUAAAUUCUUAUAAAAUGAUGGGAUUGGAAGAGGGGGGACUAAAAUUAAAAACACGGCAAACAUAGGUGACGUAUCAUAAAUUUAAAAAACAUUCACUUUGGUCCUCCAAACUUAAAUAAUCACGCAAAUUAUACAAUUACAGUUCCUCGAAAUUGUUCCAAUUUCAUUUUGUUACAGAGAUUUAUUUUGGUUAUUUUUUAGUCCCUAGUUGAGAGAGGAGUCACCGGAUCCCGACAAUAGAGAGAGAAACUUGUCGUUGGCACCGAUUUAGACCACUAAAAUAAAAUAUUUUUGUGUCAAAUUGUUUCAUUUGAUGCAGAACGUUCAUAUUAGGUGUUUGUGUAACUUAAAAGUUCUUGAAAAAACAGAUCUAAGUUCGGGUUUAUUUUUUGUUUCGGGUUGAGUUCGGUUUUUGGGGCGGUUUUUUGUGUUUUUUUAAGGACAUGAAUGGGUUUGUCAUGAUUUCUAGGGUGUUUUGGGUCGAAAGAAUGUUGUCAAACAUGUUUUGAGUCUAAAGAGCAUAGACCCUGAUUUUCCAGCCAAUACAAUAGCUGAAAUCUGGGCAAAAUAGGCAACACAUCAUUUGUUGCUAGUAUGAGUGUCAUACCCAAAACGCUUGGGUCUAACAUGGUUUUCUUUUCAAAAUAGCAUGACAGAUUUGAGCACUCUAUUCAGUGAUUAUAUAAAUGUGAUAUAGGUCUUCUUUGUAAAAUACUCUUCGAGACCAUGUAUUGUUAACAAAACAUUGAAUUCCUGUCGUGAUGAUCAAAAGUAUGCAAAUUCAAGGGUUGAAAACUGUGAAUUAGAGCAUUCAGGAGGACCCUAUGGUGAGAACAUUGCUGAAGGUGGUCCAAUGCUCACUCUUUCAGAAUUAAUAAUAUGUGGUCUCCUCCUACAGAUUUGAUCAGAUCGGCAGAUGGCCUAUUUCGGUGGUCCAAUGCUCACUCUUUCAGAAUUAAUAAUAUGUGGUCUCCUCCUAUGAUUAAUAGCCUCAAAUGGAACGUGGAUGGCUAUUCUCUUGGUAAGUCAGGCCCCUCUAGAAUAGGUGGUGUGCUGCGAAAUCACCAUGGCCAUCUUCUCGGUAGGUUCUCUGUUCCAGUUGGGAUUUUAGACUCUAAUAUUGCUGAGUUAAGGGCUAUUGUCAAAGUCAUUGAACUAUCAACAUCUAAUUGUCUCCUCCACCAUCAACAUCUCAUCAUAGAAUCUGACUCUGCCAAUGUUAUUAGCUGGAUGUAUAAGCCUCACAUCCGUCCCUGGAAGCAUCACAAUCUUUUCUCCUUUGUCAAUAGACUGAAUGCAUUUUUUGGCUCAAUCACCUUCUCUCAUAUCUUUCGUGAAAGUAAUUGCCUGGCAACUCUGCCAAUGUUAUUAGCUAGAUGCAUAAGCCUCACAUCCGUCCCUGGAAGAAUCACAAUCUUUUCUCUUCUGUCAAUAAACUGAAUGCAUUUUUUGGCUCAAUCACCUUCUCCCAUAUCUUUCGUGAAAGUAAUUGCAUGGCUAAACAAGGAGUGCGGAGUUCAAGUGAAUUUGUUGCCUGGUUUUGACUCUACCAUUAAUAUUGUGGCCUUGCUUAUAUGUCUUCUGCUGUUAUGCUGUUGAGUUUAUUUGUGUUCUGUUUUGUAGAGGAAUGCUUAGCUAUGAGUUCAUUCGGAUGGAUAUUCUCUGGUUUUCUUUGCUUUUACUUAUCUUAUACUGUGUUUUAUCUUUUUUAUGGUCUUUUUCAUAUGAAAAUAUUGUGCAGCUUCUGUACUAAUCUCGCCAGACUUUGGCGUUUAAAUGAUAUAAAUAUCUUUCAAAAAAAAAAAAAAAAGAACAUUGCUGAAGGUUAUGGUAACUUGAAUGGAGUGGAUGUAGUCAAAAUGUGAGCAAGUGAGAAGCCUUUCUAUAGCCAUGAUACCAACUCAUGUGUCGGUGACGAGUGCCUGCAUUACACUCAGGUUGUGUGGCGCAAAUCGGUUCAUUUAGGGUGUGGCAGAGCUAAGUGCAAGAAUGGGUGGUGGUUUGUCACUUGCAAUUAUGAUCCUGUUGGAAACUUUGAGGGUCAAAGCCCGUAUUGAAUUAUGUUGCUUGGAGUUCUAGCUAGUAGUCAGCCACACAAAAAUAAAAUAUAUAAUUAAGAAGAUAAUGAAAUAUUUUCUAUUGAAGGAUUUGUUUGCAUAAUUAUAAUAUUUAGGACCAAAAUCUACUUGUAUGUUUGUGUUUAAAGAAAAGGGUGAUGCUAUGGGUAUUAAAUUUUUUUUACUAUGCGUUUUGAUGUUUUUUCAUGCUAAAUUCACUCCUAAAAAUACGGUUUUAAUUGCAAAAACAAACAGCUAGCCUCUUAUAAAUCUUAUUUACUAUGAUGUAAGAUCUGCAUAUUAAUUUGUCAUCAGUUGUAACAAAGUGAUCAUUCUGGUCUCAAUUGGAGAGAAAAAAAGGGUCAUCGAUGUCCUCAAAUUUAACCAAUAUAAACUCAGUUGGCAAUGGAAUUAAUAAUGUAGGCAACUGAGCUGGCAUAAAAUAUUCAAAACCAUGAUUUGGAUUUGAUUAUGAUAUUAUUCGAAGAAUUAAUGGAAACUAAUUAACCAAUAAGGAAGACAUCAGAUAUGUAAUAUUGCUCUCUGGUUUCAUAUGCUACUCGUAAUAAUUCUUCCAUAUAUUAAGCCUCGCAAUUCCUUCCAUUUCUGGCAUUUAAAGAUUUCUGUAUAUUAUGGCAUUUAAUUACUUACCAUAUGCAGGUAAAUUAGAAAUCAACUGUCGGGUAGUAAAUUUGAAAAGUUAUCAAAUGAAUUUUAACCUUUUACCAUUCAUUUAAUGUGAGAAAUUAAAACAAACAAACAAUUCAAUGAAUCAACAAAUUGGUCUAUGUAUAUACAGCAGCAGCAGCAUUAAUUUCUCCAAAUUUGUUCUGUCCAAGGAAUGAAGUUUACGAGGUCAUCUCUGAUAUAACUACGACACAAAUGCCUGUGUUAAUAGAAAUUGCGACCACUACACUCAGGUUGUUUGGAACGAGUGACUGUUGGAUGUACAAAGGCUCGGUGCAGAACUGGGUACUGGUUUAUCUCCUGCAGCUAUUAUCCUGAGAGAAAUACCCCAACAAGACGCCCAUAGAUAAAACACUAACUGAUUCGAAAUUUAUCUCUUGCAGCUAUUGUCCUGCGCUGCACUGUUCAUACCCUCACAUAUUAUUAUGAAUUCCUGUCUGUUUAUUUUUUUAGUUUGGUCAUUAAAUUUUUAUUUUGAGUGAUUUAAUCCCAAUUGAAAGCCAAUUACUUCUGAUUUCUUAAACAAAUGUAAAAUUGGAAGAAGGACCGUGGAGAAAAAAGAGCGCAAGAUGGGUGACAUGUCCAGAGUUUGUGUGAAAAGUACACUUUGAUCCUUUUACUUUACAAAUAAUAUAAUUUUGGUCCCUUUAAAUUUUAAAAAUUCAAUGUGGUCCAAAACUUCAUUUUUUGUUUAUUUUGUAGUUCCUCAGAGAAGGAAUCGCUAGAUUCCAACAAUAAAGAAAGAAAGUUAUCAUCGAUACUGAUUUGAACCAUAAAAAUAACCAAAUUUAGUUUUAACGAGUUCUAUUUGAUAAGGAAAGUUUAACUUGGAUAUUAUUUUACCCUAACAUCUAACAUCAUUUGUAUUUUGAGUUGAUUUUUUAUUUUUGAAUCAAUUUUAGACUUUUUAAAAGUAUAAAUAUGUUUAUUUAGGUUCGGUUAAUUUAGGUGAAAUUAAAGAGUAGAAUGUGAUGUUGAGGUUUGGAUCGAAAACUGGGGGGGUUGUGCAGGGUGUUAUGCUUUGGGCACAUCCCGGAUAUACUUGGAAAACCCCGGGGAAAAAAAUUUGGAAACCCCCCUAAACAACAUGGGAUCCCUCCCUAGAACGGGGCACUGGAAUUUUUUUUUUCCAUGGGUAUUUCGGUCCAAAACUUAAACCUUUUCUUUUAGGGAUUAAAACCCCCCCCCCCCCCCCCCCCACCAUUCUCGCAAUUCAACUAAUAUCUAUCCAAAAGUCUCCUCACUAUCAUCAUCAUUAUUAUUAUAAUUACCCCUAUUCUUCCUCCUAUGAUAUUUAUCACAGGUAAACAAUUCUUCAUCUUCACAUACUUUGAACAACGAGUGUGCACUCACAUGCACUCCACAAAGAUAUGUACCACUUGUACUACGAAGUACAAACCUAUCAAUAACUUGGAACAUCUUAUUGGUUAUUUUUUAUUUAUUUAAAAAAAACCGCACAAAAAAAGAGAAAAUAAAAUUCUUUAUCCAUAAAAAAAAAUGAUAAAAACAUCUUCAUGCAUCUAAGAUUUAAUUCUCCACUUAUAUUUUUUUUUCUAAAGUGAACUCUAAAAAUAACUACUCUCUAAAUACUAUAAAUUUUUUUUGAGGAACUUUAAAAAGAUUAUUUGAUCAGUUUUUGCUCAAUUCUAGCUAGCAUGUUCCGCAAUUGACGAUUAGCUAGGGAGACAUAGUGUUUUUUUCACAGACUAUCCGUGUGCAUCACUUUACACGAAAAAUUAAAAAAAGAAUAAUCAAGAGUCUAAGUCGUGGAUUAAAAAAAGUGUCUGCUCAUCUUUUUGAAGUUAUCUAGAUAUAGAAUCAAUUUAAAAAUAAGUUUUUUUCAAAUAAAAAACUUAUCCAGUGUCUGCUCAUCUUUUUUGAAGUUUUCUAUACUAAUUCUGGUUUUGCAACUCUGCAUUAUUAAGUUGUAAAUUCUAUCAAUCACUCAACAAUUUGAAAAAAUAAAAUGUUAUUGUUAUCAUUAAAAAAAAGCAUUUUAAGUUUUUUUUAAAAAUUAAUAACCAACUUGCUGUUUGUAUUAGAAUAAUAGUACCAAUUAUUGUACUGCUAAGCAAAUCUAGCUAUCAAUAAAAGGAAAACCUCGAGGAUUAGGAUUAGGAAGCAAAUCAAGCAACUGUAGCUAUUAAAAAGAAGAGAAUCUGGAGGAAGAUUAGAAAGCAAAUCAAGUAACUGUAGCUAUCAACAAGAGAAAAAGCUGGAGAAAGAUUAGGAAGAUCAAUUGAUCUGAUUUACCUCAUGUCUUCUGCUGAAUUUCAAAUGUUGAUAAGAUUUUUUGUUAAGAUUAUUAUGUUGUACCAAAACUCUAUAAAAAGUAACCUUGUAUCUGUAACAUUCAAGUGAGAAAAAUACAUUUUCUACUUCAUUGUUUUCUUUGAGUUUACAAUUAUAAUAAAAAAUAUUCAAAUUAUUUUAUUUAAUGUGGAGAGUUCAUAUUAAGUGUUUUUAUACCUUAAAAGUUCUUGAAAAAACAAAUUUUAAUUUUAAUUAAGAAUAUCCAUGCAUCUGAAUUUUGUAUCUUUAUACUCUUAUAACUAAUAUUUAUUAGUGAGACGUAAUCUUUUAUAUGCUUUUUAAGAAUUUUUCAUUCUUAUAUGUGCUCUUAUAUAAAUAUUGUUUUCUAAUAUAUAUAUAUAUAUAUAUAUAUAUAUAUAUAUAUAUAUAUAUAUAUAUAUUUCAUCUUUAGCACUAAAAUAUCUUUCAAACUAUAUGUAAAAAAAAUUUGAAGGAUUUUAAAAAGAUUAUUUGAUCAGUUUUUGCUCGAUUCUAGCAUGUUCCGCAAUUGACGAUUAGCCAAGGGGGGUAUAGUGUUUUUUUUUACAGACUAUCCGGGUGCAUCACUUUACACGAAAAAGAAGCAGAAUAGUCAAGAGACUAAGUCGUCCAUUUCAAAAAAAAUAAUCAAGUACUGUCUGCUUCUGACUAAAGGAUCUUUUUGAAGUUAUCUGGAUUUAGAAUCAAUUUUAAAAUAAUUUUUUUCUACACUAAUUCUGGUAUUGCAACUCGGCAUUAUAUUAAUUUGGAAAUUCUAUCAAUCACUCAACAAUUUGAAAAAAAAAAAAAGUGUAUAGAAAGCACGGGUUUGUUAUCAUAAAAUUAAAAAAAAGGCAUUUUAACUAUUUCUUUUUUUAAUUAAUAACCAACUUGCUGUUAUAAUUAUUUUCACCUUACAUAUAAGCUUUUUUAAUUGCCAACACAUGCUUGACCUCAAAAAAAAACAAAAACCUUCACUUUUUUUUCUGUCUUUUGGGGUCUUGACUCAUGGUCAUGAGAUAAAACACGUUCGGAUAUUCUCGAAUAUGCUAACUUUUGAUGGGUAUGUUACACGCUCUUCUUCUCUUAAUUUUAUGAGAGCUAAUAUAUAUUUUCGAAUAAAUUCGGCAAAUAAAGAUUGAAUUAUUUUUGUCAUUCUGCUAAGGUCAGUUAUUGCUAAAACUUUAAGAUUUAUGAGAGCUUUAACAUCCCAAAAGGAGAUCUAUCCCUAAAAAUCAGGCUAAUAUUCCCUCGUAUUCAUGUUAAUCCAUUUUGUAUAUCAUGCAUGGUUUGUACUUUGUAGGUUUAAAAGAAUAUUUUUUAAAAAGAAAUUCUUUGAAUGAUUACAUGUCACUAGGAAAUCAAUUAGUUGUUCGGUAAUUUUCUUUGAAUGAUUCCACCAAUAGCAUGUCCUUCCUAGAAUAUAAGGCAACAGACAAAAAUCUAAGAGCUUAUUAGGCUUUUCAUCUUAAAAAAAAUUGAAAAUAUUAAUUUGAUGAUCUAGGAGAUUUGUUUUUUUUCAUAUAUUUUUUGAAUUCAAACCUUAGGUUCAAUAUUUACAAAGAUUUAUAAAUUUAUCAGCAUACAUCGUACCGAUAAUAUUUUUUAUUAAAAUUUUCUUUAAGAAAACAUUACUUUUAUGUUAUCCUUUUCAUUAAAUAAAAAAAUAUUAUAAUAUUAUUAAGAUAACUACACAAAAAAAAUAUUAGACUGAAGUAUUUUUUGAUAUUUUAUUAGAUUAGCGUGUUUUAAGCAAUUUAGAUUUGGUUUACUACAAUGUACACAUAUCUUAGAGUUGACAUGCAUGUUCGAUAUAUUUCAUAUUUGAUAGAAUCAUUUAAGAAGAUAUUUAUAUAUAAAUAUCUUAAUAGAAAGUUCACUCAUCAUCAAACAUUUUCAUCCAAUUAAUGUGAAGCAGCCAACAACAUCGACUUUUCCAAGGGACUUGCUUUGGAUCGAGUCUAGUUCCUUUGAUCAUUUAACGCUAUUGUUUUGAACAUUCUACGCAGACUUCGCUUGCAUGCUUCUAAGUCAUCGUUCACAUAAUUUUGCAUAACGCCUAUAAAUACCGUUCGAGCUCUCAUUGUUAUUUCAUCCAUCACCUACGAAAUUCAUUUGCUUUAUCAGAAAAGAAAAGGUGUUCAAAAUGAUGUCAAGCAAGAUUUCUCUUGCUUUCUUUACUCUUAUAACCUUAUCCCUAAUCCUUCCCUCUCGUGCCCAAGACAACCCACAAGAUUACCUUGAUGCUCAUAAUACAGCUCGUGCAGCUGUAGGUGUUGGUCCACUAACCUGGGACACCACAGUGCAAGCCUAUGCACAAAAUUAUGCUAACCAACGUGCCGGCGAUUGCAACCUUGUCCAUUCAGGUGGACCUUAUGGGGAGAACAUUGCAUGGAGCAGCGCGGACCUUUCAGGUACAGAUGCUGUAAAAAUGUGG
rnacentral:lncRNA from 1 species